GUGGGGAAUAUUGGACAAUGGGCGCAAGCCUGAUCCAGCCAUGCCGCGUGUGUGAAGAAGGUCUUCGGAUUGUAAAGCACUUUAAGUUGGGAGGAAGGGCAGUAAGUUAAUACCUUGCUGUUUUGACGUUACCGACAGAAUAAGCACCGGCUAACUUCGUGCCAGCAGCCGCGGUAAUACGAAGGGUGCAAGCGUUAAUCGGAAUUACUGGGCGUAAAGCGCGCGUAGGUGGUUUUGUAAGUUGGAGGUGAAAUCCCCGGGCUCAACCUGGGAACUGCCUCCAAAACUGCAUGACUAGAGUACGGUAGAGGGUAGUGGAAUUUCCUGUGUAGCGGUGAAAUGCGUAGAUAUAGGAAGGAACACCAGUGGCGAAGGCGACUACCUGGACUGAUACUGACACUGAGGUGCGAAAGCGUGGGGAGCAAACAGGAUUAGAUACCCUUGUAGUCC
rnacentral:rRNA from 1 species